GGCGUGGCUUGGAACUGAACCUGGAGGUGGGAAGCACUAGCUAAUGAGAGCUGGAGCCGGCUGGGAUCCAAAGGCGCGCGGGCUUGAGCCCACAGAGGAAGUUUGCUUGGGCGUGGCAUGGCAUGGCCUGGAGUGGAGCCUGCAAGAUGUCAGCAGCCUGCUGCCCCAGACCCCGCCCAGGCUGACUCUCCGGGAUGUGGCCUCCAGGUCCCCAGCCCAGAGGCAAGGAGUCAGGAGUGUGUCACAGCCAACGCUGGACGACAUCCUUGCUGCUCCUUGAUUCCCUCUCCCGGCGAGGCCUCCACCGACCCGUGGGCAGAUGGAAUCCCGUGUGCUGGGCUCUCACAACGGACUUUGCCCACGGUAGGCCUGGCCUUCCCUUUGUAGCCCCUGGAUCCUGGCCCACCUCUGCGCCUUUGCCCAAGCUGGUCCCCUGCCCACCAUGCAACCCUCCUUUCUCCAAACGUCCAGAUCUUUCCCAUCCUUCAAGGCUCAGCCCAAUGCCUGCUUGCUGAGCUGGAAAAAGUGAACUGGUCUCUCUGGGCCUCAGUUUCCCCAACUGUAACAUGAAGCAGAACAGUCCUGUGUCGGGGGCGGUUGGGGGGCGCUGGGAGCACAAGACGGCCAGGAGGGGAGCCAGGCGCCCCUGGGCCUCAGGCCCUCCUGGCCCAUCCCCCAAGCCACGAUGCCCCUCAUCCCGGCCGGGUGCUGUCUAAGCCUUGCCAGGGGGUGACGCGCUGCUGCAGCCCAGCCUGGCCCCCCGCACCAGCCAAGGCCCCAGACACACGGCCCGAGAGGCCCCGCGAGAGAACAUCUGCGCGGACCUGCCGGGAAAGGAGGGCGGGGCGAGAUCCGAGCGGCCUGGCCCCGCCCCUCCCUCGCCGCCUGGGCGGGGCUGGGGCGGGGCGGCCGCUUCCGGGGGCUCCCCCUGGGCGGUCGGCGGCUCGGGAGGGCCUGCCGGGCCCCGCCUGACCUCGGCUUCCGCCUCCGUGAAAUGGGGCGAUGGCUCCGCCUCCGAGCCUUCCGGGGGGCGUUUUAUUGCCCAGCAAGCACUAAAGCAGGCCCUGGAAACCCAGGAGAGACACGUUUCUGUGGCCUGCCCUCCAGCCCCAGCGAUGCCCCGCCGCUGCCGGAGCCGCCUGGGGAGCUCAGGGCCGCGACCUCGGGAGGCGCCAGCAUCAUUACCCCUUUUUUCAGCCGCGGAAAGGGAGGCACAGGGGUUCUCAGUGGCCUCCCAGGUCUCAGCAGGUGGGGUGCAGUCGAGGUUUAAACCCGAACCUCAAUGUCCUCAUCCAGCCGCCGGCCCAGGUUUUUUCUAGUUUUUAUUCCUCGGUAAGGACGCGCCGCCAUCGUGUCACCUGCCCCAGCCCGGCCUGGGGGCAGCACCGCGUACCGCCACGCAGCCGGGUCCCAGCGGCUCGCUCCCACUCCCCCGGGGCUUGCGGGGGGUGGCCCCGCGCGUGGACGCGGUCUGCGGCCUUCGGGCUCUGCGCCCCCGGGGACCCCCGGUGAGCGGCCCCCAGCCCGCUGUUCCGCCUGAGAUGAGGGAGAACUGCGAGUUCUGCCCGCGCCUGAUGGGGGCGCCCAAUCCGAUGUCCGCUCGCGCGUGGCCUCGCCUCGCAGACUCCCCCGCAGCCGAGCUCCCCACUCCGCGCGCGCUCGAGCUCCCCGUUUGCCCCAGCCGACCCAGGCCUUGGGCGGGGAGGGAUUGUCGGCCCGUUUUGUGCGUGGCAAUGGGCUUGGGAAGUGCCUUGGCCAGGGAUCGGACUCUUCCCGCGCCCUCCCUGUGCACGUGGACGCCCUCCUCGCUUUGGAGGCUCACCCCGCCUAGCAAGCCGCCUCUCCACCUCGUGACCCAGCCCCAAGCCCUGGGGUAGGGUCCUCUGUUCGGGGGCCCCGGGAUGCCCCCUGGGGAGGGCACACACGUGUCCUCUUCUUCCUCCAGCUCUGCAGCCCUGCUGCCUGGGCUGGACCACCAUAGGGCCUGGAGGAAGGCCAUCCAGCAGCCCCCGUGUUCCCGCCUGCAGAGGCCGGGGGCCUAGUGACUCGGAGCUCUCCUGGGGCCUGAGGGCCGUUCCCACCUCUCUGAGUUCUGCCUGAGGGGGUCCUCUGCCCAGCUUUCACCUUCUCCUUUUUCCGGCAAGGGCACCCUGGUUUUCCGGGGGUACCUGCACCCACCACUCUGCAGGCAGAUGGUAUGGUGGGUGGCACCCCAUCCUACUAGCUGUAGGUCUGGAAUUCCCCAUCUGGAGAAGGGCACUCAGCCCAGCAGGUAGGGAGGGGGCUGGCACUGUCAGGGCCGCCUCAGACAGGAUCUCAUCCAAGGUGGUAGAAAAGUGAGGUUGAGAGGCAAAAAACAUGGUCCCAGUGCUACAGAGCCCUGGGUUCAGGCGGCUCUGUGCCUGGGACCACACUGGACCUGCCUGCUUGGCUUUUUGGCUUCAGGCUGUUUGCAGUGGUCAAGUCCCCACAGACUCUGAGCACCCUCCGGACUAAGAUCAGCUGUUCCCCCGAAGCCAGAGAGGUGGGUGGGUGUUGCUGUCCCCUCCUCUAUUCAUUCGCUCAGCACCUGCUCUCCUAGACAGCACUGGGGAGUGUCCUGAACGACCCGCAGAGCCCCGCCCCAUCGGGCUCACCGCCUGAGACCCAGGAGGGAUCUGUGCCACAGCGCUGUGGGGAGGGGGCAAGGUACAGGGAGAGUCCCUGAGGAGGAGACACUGACUGACUUGUAGGGUGAGUUGGGACCUGACUAGUGAAGGGGCCGGAGGCUGAGCAAAAGAAAGUGCUCCGAGCAGUUGGCUUGGAGACUGGAAAGGACUCCCAACUCCUUUGAAGAAACAAUGGGGUGGGGGCGGGGAGCAGAGCUGCCGUGGAGCAUUGUGGGCCCCACGCAGGCCUUUGGACUGCAGCCCAGCAGCCCGGAGGAACCACGGAUGGAUUUUAAGCGGGGGUGUAUAUUAGGAUUUAGUGGAUCCCUCUGGCCUCAGUGCCUCCCAGGGUUCUGCCAGCUUGGGAAGAAAAGAAUCCCUUGCCCCAUCAUGCAAGAGGCCGAUGUUGCCCCCUCACCCUGGUGUGGCCUGGUGGGGGGAGGAGGAACCGGUGAGGGAGACUGGUGGGAUGCCCGUUUUUGCAGUAGGAUCACGGCCGUGCUGGGCUGGAUGGGACAAAGAGCUCGGUUCUAUCUGCACCACUUGGAGAAGGCUUUCCAGGAGAGCCCCCAGGCUGCAGAUGAGUAGGAAUAAUCAGGGAGGCAGGCCAGGAGGCGGGCGGGGAGCAGGGGGGGAGGGCCAGAGAGAGGGAACAGCAUGUGAAGAGGCACAGAGGCAGGACAGAGCACAGUGCCCAGGAAAGCCCUCAAUCAGAACUAGAGUGUGAAGAAUUUGGGGUCUGUCUGUCCAUCUGUCGGAGUCUCUCUGAGGCUGCUAAAGUGCAGGCAAGGAGCAGAGAGACAGGCCCCCACAUUUGGGUGGA